ACUGGGAGUGGAGGCCAAUUCCUGUAAUCCCAACUACUGGGGACUGAGGCAGGAGGAUCACAAGUUUGAGGCCAGCCUGGGAAACUUAGUGAGACCCUGUCUCAA
rnacentral:sRNA from 1 species